rnacentral:rRNA from 1 species
GGAGUUAGCCGGUGCUUCUUCUGUGAGUGAUGUCCUUCCUGCCGGCUAUUAACCCGCAGGCCUUCUUCCUCACUGAAAGUGCUUUACAACCCGAAGGCCUUCUUCACACACGCGGCAUGGCUGGAUCAGGGUUGCCCCCAUUGUCCAAUAUUCCCCACUGCUGCCUCCCGUAGGAGUCUGGGCCGUGUCUCAGUCCCAGUGUGGCUGAUCAUCCUCUCAGACCAGCUACGGAUCGUCGCCUUGGUGAGCCGUUACCUCACCAACCAGCUAAUCCGACAUAGGCUCAUCCGAUAGCGCGAGGCCCGAAGGUCCCCCGCUUUCCCCCGUAGGGCGUAUGCGGUAUUAGCCUGGGUUUCCCCAGGUUAUCCCCCACUACCGGGCAGAUUCCUAUGCAUUACUCACCCGUCCGCCGCUCGCCACCAGGGAGCAAGCUCCCCGUGCUGCCGCUCGACUUGCAUGUGUUAGGCCUGCCGCCAGCGUUCAAUCUGAGCCAUAGNACCAACGCCUGA